AGAGUUUGAUCCUGGCUCAGAGCGAACGCUGGCGGCAGGCUUAACACAUGCAAGUCUAACGGACGCAGCAAUGCGUCAGUGGCAGACGGGUGAGUAACACGUGGGAACGUGCCCUUCGGUUCGGAACAACCCAGGGAAACUUGGGCUAAUACCGGAUACGUCCGCAAGGAGAAAGAUUUAUCGCCGAAGGAUCGGCCCGCGUCUGAUUAGCUUGUUGGUGAGGUAACGGCUCACCAAGGCGACGAUCAGUAGCUGGUCUGAGAGGAUGAUCAGCCACACUGGGACUGAGACACGGCCCAGACUCCUACGGGAGGCAGCAGUGGGGAAUAUUGGACAAUGGGCGCAAGCCUGAUCCAGCCAUGCCGCGUGGGUGAUGAAGGCCUUAGGGUUGUAAAGCCCUUUCGGCGGGGAAGAUAAUGACGGUACCCGCAGAAGAAGCCCCGGCUAACUUCGUGCCAGCAGCCGCGGUAAUACGAAGGGGGUUAGCGUUGCUCGGAAUCACUGGGCGUAAAGCGCACGUAGGCGGAUUGCUAAGUCAGGGGUGAAAUCCUGGAGCUCAACUCCAGAACUGCCCUUGAUACUGGCGACCUUGAGUCCGGGAGAGGUGAGUGGAACUGCGAGUGUAGAGGUGAAAUUCGUAGAUAUUCGCAAGAACACCAGUGGCGAAGGCGGCUCACUGGCCCGGUACUGACGCUGAGGUGCGAGAGCGUGGGGAGCAAACAGGAUUAGAUACCCUAGUAGUCC
rnacentral:rRNA from 1 species